GACGAACGCUGGCGGCGUGCCUAAUACAUGCAAGUUGAGCGCUGAAGGUUGGUACUUGUACCAACUGGAUGAGCAGCGAACGGGUGAGUAACGCGUGGGGAAUCUGCCUUUGAGCGGGGGACAACAUUUGGAAACGAAUGCUAAUACCGCAUAAAAACUUUAAACACAAGUUUUAAGUUUGAAAGAUGCAAUUGCAUCACUCAAAGAUGAUCCCGCGUUGUAUUAGCUAGUUGGUGAGGUAAAGGCUCACCAAGGCGAUGAUACAUAGCCGACCUGAGAGGGUGAUCGGCCACAUUGGGACUGAGACACGGCCCAAACUCCUACGGGAGGCAGCAGUAGGGAAUCUUCGGGGAAGGACGAAAGUCUGACCGAGCAACGCCGCGUGAGUGGAGGAGGUUGUCGGGUCGUGAAACUCUGUUGGUAGAGAAGAACGUUGGUGAGAGUGGAACGCUCAUCAAGUGACGGUAACUACCCAGAAAGGGACGGCUAACUACGUG
rnacentral:rRNA from 1 species